UCGCUCGCUCUACCACCCUCGCUCUCUUUCCGCUGCACUCGCUCCUUGUAUCAGGUGAUUGGGUUAAUUGGGAACCCACCUGCACAUUGAUUGCAGGGUGGCGCUAGCCCGUAUAAAGCUAAGCCGAUGUUUUGUUGGAUUAAUCCCUCCUGAGCUUCUGGUGCGAUACAGCAGUAAAUGCUGGCGUACUGCGACGGACUGAUCAGCAAGAGCCGAUUAUAUGACAGCUACAGCGCAGCAGUCUGUUUAAUUCUGCCAUUGCGGAGAGAGGUGUUCGUGGUAUCUCCACCAAUGAGAGUAUAGUGCCUCCGGUCCUGGGUGAAGGAGGACGAGCCAGUGGCCCUGGGACCUCAGGUGGUGGGUCGUUUUCACACUUUCUUUUGUACAGCACUGGGUGGUCUG